GUGCUUGAUCCUGGCAGCACAUAUACUAAAACUGGAACGAUACAGAGAAGAUUAACCUGGCCCCUUUGCAAGGAUGAGAGAGCAGGGCAAAAGGUUAAGUGUGGAUGA